UUGCCUGGUUACGGCUUUCGGCUUCUGGCUCGGGUCUGGCGCUCUGAGCGGGUUUUAAGCUUCGGCAGCCCCCUGUGGAGCGUCGCGGGGCGUCCCCGCCCAGGCGGGGAGCCCGGCCCGCAGGCGCCCGCCUGCACUGCGCACGCGGCCGGGUCUCGUGAGCCGCGCCGGGACUGUCCACUCUUCGUCUGUCGCGUCCUCCGCGCCGGCCCACCCCGGCCGGAGCGCUUGGCCCUGUCGAGCGGACGCCAGUGUGGAGCGAGCCCCGGCGCUUGGGCGGCCCCCGAGCUCCCCAGAGACCCGGCGAGGCUGGUGGGGUCAGCCUCCGGCCCCUCCCGUCGCCUUACCUGGUCCCCGGUGCCACCCAGGCCGGGCGCCGUCUAAGCCCUGCCGAAGAGGCGGGUGCUGUCGUUUGUAUCCUCAUCUUCGGAGUUGGAAAGGGUUUACCGAAGACAGCAGGUGCUUCGCCAGUGCUCCUGGAGCUGACUGUAUUGGAAUGACAGAGAAUGCUGCUUUUUCAAGCUCUGUGGUUGAACCCCACCACUAUGUUGCUCUGUAACAUAGAGGCUCUGUGUUCUGUUUCAUCUCACCUCCACGGGCGCCACUGGUGGGCAGCGUGGCCAGGUGUGGCCGGGGAGGAUGUCGCUCCAGAUAUUAGGAACAAUCCACAAGUUCAAGGUUGUGUAAAGAACACCAAAAAUCUGUGUCGGAGGCACUUCACACAUUCGGCGCCUGUUGUGCGUGAGCAGAGCUGUGGUCGAGCAGACUUGCAACCCCCUGGAGCCUGGGUUUCUCUGUCUGAAUGUGUGAUGGGAACAGCGCCUGUUGAAGGGCUGCUGCCGGGCCUAGAAAGGUCCCCUCUCUGCCCACAAGGACACUAAUGUACAGUUACCUCCAGCCCAACAGCUGCCAAGUGGAAGGUGGAAACACAAAACAACAAAAGUCAGGAAUGACAUCGGGGUGGACUAGCGUGGCAGCACUCAAGCCAUCUUUACACUGCAGAUGCAAGGAACAGCAUCUCCCAGAAUGUGUCCCGCUGGCCCAAGAAUAGGUCCAUUUGGGAAACCCUGCACAUACCGUAGAGACUCCUGCUACCCACGAGUCCUCAGGGCCUGAGAAGUCCUGCAGUGGAGAUCCUGUUUCUCCCAGACCCAGGGCUUCCCAAACCCAUGAACCUCCACCAGUCACUCUUUGGGAUACGGUCGCCUAGCGGCCAAGCUGGAUCACCCUGUCUAGGUUUCAUUUCAAAUUAGUUUUGCAGAAUAACAUAUUGGUGUUUUGCCAAGGACUUCUGUUGGGGGCAGUCCCUGAGAAGCCACAUGUGGAGCUCUCCCUCUUUGGUCUGUGUGACAGCCCCAUCCCUCCUGCAGAGCUCCUCGGGUGGUUUGUGGAUUGGGCCAGGCCACAGUUGGUCCACAGUGAGAUUCAGAACCACACAGAAUGAGAAUCAGCUCCACCGCUGGGCACACAGUCUAGUUUCACGGGCGAUUCCUGGAAGGGAGACUUUGUGGGUGAAGGAAGCAGUGGGCUGUUGACCCUUUGAGCAGCCGAAGGGCUACAACCCUCCCCUCCUGCACCGGGCAGCCCUGCCCAGGGCUGAACCUGUGGCUGUGGUGGUGUGUCCCUGCAGGCGCCUUCUCUGCUUUGGCAACGACACGGAGCCAGACACACGCCAUGAUGUGCCUUGUGUUUUCCUCACUGGAGACAGGUGCCUGGAGGUCCCCUUGACAUUUUUUUGAGGUCUAAGCCUGCACUCUCCAACACAGUAGCCGUGAGAUUCAUGCGGUCACUGGCCUCCGAAAAUACCAAGGUGUGCUAUGAGUGAAAUGCACACUGGAUUUCAAAGACAUGGUCCAAAAAAAAACCCAAACAAUGUAAAAUAUCACAUUCGAAUAUUUAUAUUGGUUACGUGUGGAAAUGACCCAUAUUUUGGUAUAUUGGAUUAACUAAGAUGUGUUAUUAAAAUAAGCUCCAUGUG